CAGCAGCAGCAGGAGCAGCAGCAGCAGCAGCAGCAGCAGUAGAUGCUGUCCCAUCAUCAGAUCACACCCAACGGGGCUGCAGCGCACCGCUCCUCCGGCACCAACACCAUGACACCCCGAUUCAAACCCGCAAUCUGAGCCCGCACGAGGAACUCAACGGAACUUGCACGAGGACACCGAGAGACGGACCUGGAGACUUACGCGCGCGCACGCAAGGAAGCUCGCACGGAGAGACGGUUGUUGCAGUGACCAGCGGCCAAAAAGGACAGGGACGCCGACCUAGGCGAACUCCACUGCGCCGCGGAUUUGCGCUUUUCUCUCCCAGAAUCGCGCCCGACACGAAAAUCGCUCCCAGUGAGUCAUUUCACACCCGAACAUGUCAUCGUCGGCAAAGGACAGCGGGCAUUACGCCAACUAUGUGGGACCGUACCGCUUGGAGAAGACGCUGGGCAAAGGACAGACAGGUCUGGUGAAGCUGGGAAUCCACUGUGUCACAUGUCAGAAAGUCGCCAUAAAGAUCGUCAACAGAGAAAAGCUCAGCGAGUCGGUGCUCAUGAAGGUGGAGCGGGAGAUCGCCAUCCUGAAACUCAUCGAGCAUCCCCACGUUUUAAAGCUGCACGACGUCUACGAAAACAAGAAAUACCUGUACCUGGUGCUGGAGCAUGUGUCCGGCGGCGAGCUGUUCGACUACCUGGUGAAAAAAGGACGGUUAACACCUAAAGAGGCCAGAAAGUUCUUCAGACAGAUCAUCUCAGCGCUGGACUUCUGCCACAGCCACUCCAUAUGCCACAGAGAUUUGAAGCCUGAGAACUUGUUGUUAGACGAGAAGAACAACAUCAGGAUAGCGGACUUUGGCAUGGCGUCUCUGCAGGUCGGGGACAGUCUGCUGGAGACCAGCUGUGGAUCUCCGCACUACGCCUGCCCAGAGGUUAUCAGGGGGGAGAAGUACGACGGGAGGAAAGCAGAUGCAUGGAGCUGUGGAGUCAUCCUGUUUGCACUUUUAGUGGGCGCCCUGCCUUUCGACGACGACAACCUGAGGAAUCUUCUGGAGAAGGUGAAGCUGGGAGUUUUCCACAUGCCCCACUUCAUCCCUCCGGACUGUCAGAACCUUCUGCGCGGGAUGAUCGAAGUGGACGCCGGCAAGAGGCUCACGUUGGACCAGAUCCAGAAGCAUACAUGGUACCUAGCGGGAAAGAACGAGCCGGAGCCCGAGCAGCCCGUCCCCAGGAAGGUGGCCAUCAGGAUGCUGGCUGCAGCCGAGGAGAUCGACCCCGACGUCCUGGAGAGCAUGCACUCUCUGGGCUGCUUCAGAGACAAGGACAAACUGACCAAAGACCUGCUGUCUGAGGAAGACAACCAGGAGAAGAUGAUCUACUUCCUGCUGCUGGAUCGUAAAGAGAGAUAUCCGAGCCACGAGGACCAGAACCUGCCGCCACGCAACGAGAUCGCAGACCCUCCCAGGAAGCGUGUGGAUUCGCCCAUGCUGAGCCGUCACGGUAAGAGAAGACCGGAGAGGAAGUCCAUGGAGGUGCUGAGCGUCACAGAGGGGGGGUCUCCUGUACCUGUACGACGAGCCAUCGACAUGGCAACGCACGGUCAGAGCAAAUCUGUUUUCAGUAAAAGCUUGGAUAUCACAAACGCUAACUGCAGCAAGGAAGAAAGGUCGCGGUCGAUCAGCGGAGCGUCCUCCAACCUGUCCACCAGUCCUCUCAGCAGCCCCAGGCCCAACAGGCGGUUUUUCAUCCCGCCCCAGUCCCCAGACCUGUGUCAGUCCCCCAACUGUAGCCCCACCCACUCCGCUGAGGUCCGCCUUAACGGGGUGGGGCCACGCACGCCCAACUCCUACCAGCCAAAGAUGGGGUCCCCCCUCAUGCAUCCCCGCACGCAGACCCUCCCCGCCAAGCCCAAAGUGUCCGAGAAACCCCUCCAGACCACCAGAUCCAACCCCCUCCCCAACACUGUCCAAACACCUUCCACCCCCAAAUCUGAGCCCUCCACGCCUAACAACCCCCUGGCCCCCUGCAUCACCAACAGCCCCCGGGUGAGACGCCACCCUCCCCUUACUGUCCCCCCCAAACUGUCCAUCCCUCUCUCCCCCGUGCCUCCUAUGUCUCCCCGCCGCCGACACCACCUCCACCCUGACCACAACGGCAAAUCUGUCCCCAUCACGCAGGUGACCCCCCACCCCUCCCCCAGAGGGAGCCCUCUCCCCACCCCCAAAGGCACCCCGGUUCACACGCCCAAGGAAAGCCCAGCCGGCACCCCCAGCCCGACACCUCCACCCAGCCCCUCCAUCGGGGGGUUGCCAUGGAGGACACGCCUCAACUCCAUCAAGAACAGCUUCUUGGGCUCGCCGCGCUUCCACCGCAGGAAAAUGCAAGUUCCCACCCAGGAGGACAUGUCCAGUCUGACCCCAGACUCGUCUCCAGAGCUGGCUAAGAAGUCGUGGUUCGGGAACUUCAUCAACCUGGAGAAAGAGGAGCAGAUCUUCAUCGUGAUCAGAGACAAACCUCUGAGCUCCAUAAAGGCAGACAUCGUCCACGCCUUCCUCUCCAUCCCCAGUCUGAGCCACAGCGUCAUCUCUCAGACCAGUUUCCGGGCGGAGUACAAGUCCACGGCCGGGCCGACGGUUUUCCAGAAGCCGGUGAAGUUCCAGGUGGACAUCACCUACACGGAGAGCACCAGCGCCACCAAGGACAACGGCAUCUACUCCGUCACCUUCACCCUGCUCUCAGGUCCCAGCAGACGUUUCAAGCGUGUGGUGGAGACCAUCCAGGCUCAGCUGCUGAGCACCAACGACCAGCCGGGCAUCCAGCCGCAGAUUUCUGGCAGCCCGUUGAGUAACUUCUUUGACGUAAUUAAACAGCUUUUUUCAGACGAGAAGAACCUCCAAGCGUCCCACCCCCCUGGCGCCCCCGCCACGCCUAGCUCCCCCAACAAGCAUGCCCCCAGCAGCAAGCCAAACCAGCCCCCGCCCAAUGACUCUAAAUGCCCCCCCGGCAGCAAAGACAAAACAAAGAUGGCCUCCGGCAACAGGACACAGGAACAACCUUAAGGAGCGGUAGCCGUGCAUGUCUAGAAGCUGAGCAGGUCAUAAACGACAGAGGAGCUGCUGACGUCACUCUUUAGCUAGGAGUGAAACAAAAAAAAAGAAAUCUACUUUUUGCCUAUACAUUUUCUACUCUAUAACGGGAAUGGCUAUUUCAGUUCAAAAGUCGGUCAGUAUUUUACAAUAAGUAGCAGAUGUAGCUUUGUCAUCCCUCCCCUCUGUCCCUCUCUGUGUCCUCGGGGGUCUGUCGGUGGGUGUGUGUCCUCCUCACAUGUGUGACGGCUUCACUUGUCUCUGUCACCAGGGAUCAUCCACAAUAGCUAUUAACCUGCAGGGCGGCCCACAGCGGCCCGCCAACACCGCCGCCAAGAGAGAGUCCGACAAACUGAAGAAGAGACUCACAGAGGACUCCUCCCCCCUCUUCAUUCCCCCCCCCCCCCCCCCCCCCUCCCUCCCUCCCUCUCCGCCGGCAUCAGUAGAGUCUUCUCCCCGAUCAGACCAAACACACUCAGACGAGUUGUAAAAAGAAAAAAGAAGCCUUAAGACAGUGAUGUUUGUCUACACACACACACACACACACACACACACACCCUCGCCUCUUCUCGUUCUUCUCUUUCUCCCACAUGUACAUAAAAACACACACACUGUACGUACUCCUCUACACACACUGCGGGAUGUAAAGUCUGCACACGCUGACAGACACGAGCUUGGAGGAAGAAGCAGACGGUCGUUUGGACGAGCGCUGGCUGGAUUGUAGUUCUUUUUGAUGAGCGGGCGGAUCUUUGGAGCGCGCUCUGUGACGUUUGUAUAAACGGGUUCUCGCAGCUCAAAGGUUACGAUAAAAAGGGGGGAGGUGAUGUUACAUAAAUGAAUGAUCUAUUCUGUUGUACAGAUUAAAUAAUGUUCUGUAUGUACAAAGAGUGUAGUUGUGACAUCAUGUUUUAGAGUUGUGUUGCCAUAUUUUGUUUUUUUGAGUUCAGGCCUGGUCACACCAGCCGAGGAAACGGGGAGACGACGAUAUCGCUGAUAUAAUGACAGGAUUCACAUGAUAGUAUUUCUCAUGCAGACUUCUUUUAAAUUCACUUUGACACAAAUUUGAAUCCAAACGAGAACUCAAAACUCAAACACCAGUCGGCUUACUUUAACUUUCUCUCAUGAGCCGUUUUCACAUCCUGAAAAUAUCUAGAGACUUUCAGGAGGACUGCCCCUGAAUUCUUCCUGAUCUGGUUGUUCACACAUGGGGAGAGACGAUCCCUGUCAGACUGGAGGAGGGGGGAACAGGAAACAUAAUGCAGCAGGUUCAUUAGAGCACGGAGAUGGUAGAGGUGGCGUGCAGACAGUCUAUGGUCGUGCAGCGAUCACAGGGAAUAAACGUCACCACCCCCUCCCACUCGCUCCAGGUGAAUUCUCCUGAUUAUAUCCUGCUGCGUUCUCACAUCAGCUCACUCAAUAAAUCCUCAUACAGACUGCAAGAUAAGGGGAAACAACGCCUUUUGUUACUAGUUUAAUAAAAUCUACCAAUGGGACAAACAAAUGUUACUUGUUAAGUUUCUAAAAAUGAGAUGUAACGUCUGAUUUCAAGAAACUUACACAAAAUGUGCUGCCCCAUUGGCAGGUUUGUUUUCUUAAUAAAAGCACCCCUUGCCUUGUUUUUCUUACUGAGGAUCUGUCGGGUAAAUGUGGCUUCUGAAAAGUGUAAUGACACGUUUUGGACAAGAAAUUAAAGGAGCAGUAUCUCUGACACCUAGUGUUUAAAAUGGGUACUGCAGUCUAAAUUCUAAACAUUGUAGAGAGCUGUCUCCCCCCCCCCCCCUCUCUAGAG